rnacentral:lncRNA from 10 species
AAGGGCUGUAGUGACUCCAGGGAACGUGUGAACAGUGGUUAUCAGCGGAUCACAGAAUGCAGGAUAUCCUGAUCUCGUGAUCCACUCACCUUGGGCUCCCAAAGUGCUGGGAUUACAGGCAUGAGCCACCGCGCCCAGCCGGGUUCUUUUCUUGAAUCACCCCAAUGAGGACUUUUCUGUGGAACACAGAAUGUCACAGAAUUGACUUUUUUUGUCCCAAGUGAGGGGUGUAUCCCACUUUGACUGCACAGUCAUGGAGUUAAAGCCUAGAGUAGAGGAGGUAAUUUGCACCUUAGCGUUGAGAUUUUAUUGAAUAAUACCAUUUGCUUUUUUCACACAGGAAAAUAUCCAUUUCUAUCUUUAAACUGAUCUGAAAAUUUAGGACCAGAGUGGAAGUCAACACUGGCCCUGCGUGUAGUUUCAGAAAAGGCGCCUCCUGGACCUGCCGCACUUUGAUACCCUCCUUUGCACACCCCAUUUCAUUUGUCCUGCUAUCAACUUGACAUCAGCAUUUCCACACCCAAAUAUCCCUUAUAUGCUCUUCUGACAGUGAGGAUGUUUGCUCCCUACUGAAACAGAGUUUAGAACUCACACCUUGUUAACAGGUUGUCAAAAUUCGUUUUGCUAGUCUAUUGUUUUUCUUCUAAUACAAAAAGAUUUGCUGA